UACGUAGGGGGCAAGCGUUGUCCGGAAUCAUUGGGCGUAAAGAGCGCGUAGGCGGCCUUUUAAGUCCUGCGUGAAAUCCUGCGGCUCAACCGCAGACGGUCGUGGGAAACUGGAAGGCUAGAGUGCGGGAGAGGAGAGUGGAAUUCCCGGUGUAGCGGUGAAAUGCGCAGAUAUCGGGAAGAACACCCGUGGCGAAGGCGGCUCUCUGGAACGCAACUGACGCUGAGACGCGAAAGCGUGGGGAGCAAACAGG
rnacentral:rRNA from 1 species